GAUGAACGCUGGCGGCGUGCCUAAUACAUGCAAGUCGAGCGAACGGACGAGAAGCUUGCUUCUCUGAUGUUAGCGGCGGACGGGUGAGUAACACGUGGAUAACCUACCUAUAAGACUGGGAUAACUUCGGGAAACCGGAGCUAAUACCGGAUAAUAUUUUGAACCGCAUGGUUCAAAGGUGAAAGACGGUCUUGCUGUCACUUAUAGAUGGAUCCGCGCUGCAUUAGCUAGUUGGUAAGGUAACGGCUUACCAAGGCAACGAUGCAUAGCCGACCUGAGAGGGUGAUCGGCCACACUGGAACUGAGACACGGUCCAGACUCCUACGGGAGGCGGCAGUAGGGAAUCUUCCGCAAUGGGCGAAAGCCUGACGGAGCAACGCCGCGUGAGUGAUGAAGGUCUUCGGAUCGUAAAACUCUGUUAUUAGGGAAGAACAUAUGUGUAAGUAACUGUGCACAUCUUGACGGUACCUAAUCAGAAAGCCACGGCUAACUACGUG
rnacentral:rRNA from 1 species